rnacentral:snRNA from 1 species
GUGCUCACUUCGGCAGCACAUAGACUAAUUGGAAUGAUACAGAGAUUAGCAUGGCCCCUGUGCCAGGAUGACACGCAAAUGCGUGAAGCGUUCCAUGUUAAA